UGGUACUCAUGAAAAGAAUUUUAGUUCAACCUUAUAAGUUUUAUGACCUAUAAAAGUCAAAAUUAUCUUUUAAGAGCUAUUCAAUAGGGGAACAGCCCUAUUGAAAAAGGACACAACCUCUAUCACAGGGUAAUGAUGAUAUUAUUUAAGGGUAUUGGAGAAGUGGGCUUAAAAGCAGCCAUCUUAAAAGAGAGCGUUAUAGCUCAACCAAAACAACCCAACAAUUUCAAUACAACUUCAAAACCCGCCCAUGUACUGAGUUAUUCUAUAACAUUAUAGAAUUAAUUAUGUUAAAACUAGUAACACAGAAAUUAAAUUUCUCCUGUAUGUAAGUGUAAAUCAGAUUGAAUAAAUCACUGAUAAUUAACAGCCUUUAUGAAAUUAAUGUAGAAACUCAUCAAGAAAACCCUACUAUUAUUACUGUUAACCUAACACAAGAACAUAUCAAGAAAGAUUAAAAGACACAGAAGGAACUCGGCAAAUAUUUAAGCCCCGCCUGUGUAC
rnacentral:rRNA from 1 species